CACUCUAGAGAGACUGCCAGGGAUAACCUGGAGGAAGGUGGGGAUGACGUCAAAUCAUCAUGCCCCUUAUGCUUAGGGCUACACACGUGCUACAAUGGGUAGUACAGAGGGUUGCCAAGCCGUAAGGCGGAGCUAAUCCCUUAAAGCUACUCUCAGUUCGGAUUGUAGGCUGAAACUCGCCUACAUGAAGCUGGAGUUACUAGUAAUCGCAGAUCAGAAUGCUGCGGUGAAUGCGUUCCCGGGUCUUGUACACCCCGCCCGUCACACCACGGGAGUUGGAGACGCCCGAAGCCGAUUAUCUAACCUUUUGGAAGAAGUCGUCGAAGGUGGAAUCAAUAACUGGGGUGAAGUCGUAACAAGGUAGCCGUAUCGGAAGGUGCGGCUGGAUCACCUCCUUUCUAAGGAGA
rnacentral:rRNA from 1 species